CGAGCCAGGGGAAAGCCCGGCGCCGGCGAGAGCUCGCGGGGAAGAGGGGGGGAGGAAACAACCACCUGGGCUUCUCACAUUCCUUGCAGCGAAACCUCGCGACGGCACACCCCCACCAACCGCCUCUGAGAGAGGCUCAGUCCGGUGGCCCCACUCCGCACACCGUCCCAGGCACGCGCCCGGCCACCCCAGCCACCAAUUUGCGUGCGCUGCUCAGCAACUGAACGCCCGGCCUUAAUUCACGCCCCUUUAGCUUACCUCCCCUACCUCGCCGACCAGCCAGAAUACUGAUUGGACGACGUUGUCCCGUAGGCCUAGCGACUUUCCCUUAGGCCCCCGGCCGCUGCGCGGCCCGGUGCCAGGUACUCCACGGCCCGGCACCGGUCCGCGGACCGGGGGUUGGGGACCACUGCUCUAAAGCACAGAGGGGCAGCUGAUGCUCAUCCAUCACCAUUGCUAUGCUGGCUAUAGCUGGCGCAAACUGAAGUUGAACAAUAUCUGGAAGGCCAGCAGCAGGAAGAGAUUUCUAGCUUAAUGAAUGCGCUCAUGGCUCAGUCUCUUGAGGCCUAUAAGUAAGACUGUGAAAAUCUACCUCAAAUGCUGCCCCUAGAAAUUACUAAAUCAGAUUGAUUUGUAAUAAAACCCGUAAAAUGCUGCUUCCUACACUGCCAAUUCCAUAGAUAUCUCAUAAUUUGACACAUUUAACAAGCAACAGAUAUGAACAUUCUCAUCUUUGAGAAGUUUGCUCAAUAAUGCUCUUGUAUAGACUAGCAAUUAAGGAACCAUGGAAACAUUUAUAUACAUCCCUUUUUUUACUUGUACAGUAGGUGGUUUUACUAAGCUGUGGUACACGGCUUGUGAGGUUGUACAUAGUUUCCAAUCUCCUGCAAACAUAGUUAGCAAAUUGUGAUAAAAUGAAGUAAUUGUCAGAUACCCAGAGAAUAAUUUUUGAUCUGCUAGAUUAUGUUAAUUUUAGUUUUUGUCUUAGCUUCUCCCAGACCUCCAUUCUGAUCUUUUUCACUUAAAAAUAUCACUUUCAAGCUGUCUCUCAAAAAUGGGAACCUCAGCUUGAAACAGCUUGUAAUCCAACAUUCAUUAAACCAGAGUUUAUUAUAAAUCAUAUUACACCAAGCCAUAGUCUACUUAAUAAUGCUUUGCUGAAUAAACCAUUAAAAAGUCUGGUAUUAAUAGAAACAUUGGUGGCGGGGGGGAGGGGGAACUGUUCUCUGUUGAGUUUUCCUGCUUCUGUGCUUCUAAAUAAAAUUGAUUGGGAACAAAAUGCUAAACUAUGUACUGACUUUGGAUUGAUCUAACCAGAUUUUUCUUAUCUUCUUGGCAGCCUCUAGGCAAUACCUGCUCCUGCUUGGUGCUCUUGCAAUUGUUGUUUUAUGGUUCUUUCAGACUCAAACAUUCUAAUAUCAAACAACAUUUGAAAGACUUCCUUUUUAAAAAAAAUUCUAGCCUAGUUUUAAACUAAUUGUGGUAGCCAUCAAGAUCUCUUGGGCAGCCAAUCUUACAAAUGAAAUAUGCUUUGCACACUAUUUUUUGAAUCAGUCCUAAAUCUGCUAGCAGAUGUAUGUCUUGGAUGAGUCCAGGUUCAACCAUUACAGGAAACAAAAAGAGAGAGAAAGAUGGGUGAUACUCUGUAUUCCAAUUUCUUCAUGUUGUAACUAACUUUGCAACAUUUGAACAUAUUCUUUUUUAAACAAAUUCCUGCCUGUAAAAUGCAUUUGUUCUUUUUACAUCCUGCAUUCUGAAUUUAAUCAAAAUUUUCCUGCUUAAUACUUAUUACUUGGUAAAAUGAUGUGUUUUUCCUAAUUCAUUGUUCUUCACUUGAUUUUUCUCCUCAGCUAUUUCAGCCUUAAAAAUAUAGCAAAUAUUUAUACUUCCCUUCAUCCAAUUAAACUCUUGCUAAAAUCAAAAGUGAAAUGGCCAACCAGGAACUAGAGGACUGGCUACAAACAGCAGCAUCCUGCAUUCUGGUUUCACUGCUCCUAGACACACAGUUGCAAGCAUGGCUGAAGAAAUCCAAAGGUUGAAAAGCAGAAAAUAAGAUUGACUCAGAAAUUAAUGACCUUGCCAAGCUGGAAAGCCCGGGAAUAUUUGGUUCAGAUGGUCUCCUUGGCAACCAAUUUAGAUGUCACAUUCGCCUGCGCCUGUUCCUUGGAGAGAUAACCAGGAUAAAAAUACAGUCUCCAGAUCAUAUGCUUUGGGAACUACAAAACUGAAUUACUUCCUGCAAGUUGAUGAAUACAUCAUAAUGGCUUACUGUUUGUGUGAAUAAUCUUGAAUUAUGCUCUUUGUAGUGUUGGU